rnacentral:rRNA from 1 species
ACGAACGCUGGCGGCAUGCCUAACACAUGCAAGUCGAACGAGCCUUUCGGGGCUAGUGGCGCACGGGUGCGUAACGCGUGGGAAUCUGCCCUUAGGUACGGAAUAACUCAGGGAAACUUGUGCUAAUACCGUAUGAUGUCUUCGGACCAAAGAUUUAUCGCCUAGGGAUGAGCCCGCGUUGGAUUAGCUAGUUGGUGGGGUAAAGGCCUACCAAGGCGACGAUCCAUAGCUGGUCUGAGAGGAUGAUCAGCCACACUGGGACUGAGACACGGCCCAGACUCCUACGGGAGGCAGCAGUGGGGAAUAUUGGACAAUGGGCGAAAGCCUGAUCCAGCAAUGCCGCGUGAGUGAUGAAGGCCUUAGGGUUGUAAAGCUCUUUUACCCGGGAAGAUAAUGACUGUACCGGGAGAAUAAGCCCCGGCUAACUCCGU